UUCAAUGGAUUUUAUGUCGCCU
rnacentral:siRNA from 1 species